UACGUAGGGGGCUAGCGUUGUCCGGAAUCAUUGGGCGUAAAGCGCGUGUAGGCGGCCCGGUAAGUCCGCUGUGAAAGUCGGGGGCUCAACCCUCGAAUGCCGGUGGAUACUGUCGGGCUCAAGUGCGGGAGAGGCGAGUGGAAUUCCUGGUGUAGCGGUGAAAUGCGCAGAUAUCAGGAGGAACACCGAUUGCGAAGGCAGCUCGCUGGAACGUUACUGACGCUGAGACGCGAAAGCGUGGGGAGCAAACAGG
rnacentral:rRNA from 1 species